rnacentral:rRNA from 1 species
GAUGAACGCUGGCGGCGUGCCUAAUACAUGCAAGUCGAGCGAACGGACGAGACGCUUGCUUUUCUGAUGUUAGCGGCGGACGGGUGAGUAACACGUGGAUAACCUACCUAUAAGACUGGGAUAACUUCGGGACACCGGAGCUAAUACCGGAGAAUAUUUUGAACCGCAUGGUUCAAAAGUGAAAGACGGUCUUGCUGUCACUUAUAGAUGGAUCCGGGCUGCAUUAGCUAGUUGGGAAGGUAACGGCUUACCAAGGCAACGAGGCAUAGCCGACGGGAGAGGGGGAUCGGCCACAUGGGAAGUGGGACACGGUCCAGAGUACUACGGGAGGCAGCAGUAGCGAAUCGUCCGCAACAGGGGAGAGCAUGGCGGAGCAGCGCGGCGUGAGUUAUGAAGGUCUUCGGAGCGGAAUGCCCUGUUAUUAGGGAAGAACCGCUGUGGAAGGUGACGAGCAGAGCGUGACGGUACCUAGUCAGAAAGCCCCGGCUAACUACGUG